GUUCCGGUUACCAAGAAAUUGAUUGCGAGUUCAUCACUAUGUUCUCAACAGUUUGCUCCUUUAUUGAAGCACAAGAGGUGUGUUUCAGUUUCAAAAUGCCGGCAAGGGACUACUGUUUGCAAAUUUGGAGGCCAAGAUAAGCCUGCUGGUGACAAUGAGGGUUCACCGUGGAAAUCUAUCGAGAAAGCUAUUGGAAACUUUGGGAAGAAACAAUCAAUCGAAGAUGUGUUAAGGCAGCAGAUUGAGAAGCAAGAUUACUAUGAUGAAGGCAGUGGGCAAAAUCCGCCGCGUGGUGGAGGUGGCGGCAGCAGCGGUGGUGGCGAUGGAUUUGGAGAAUCAGAGGAUGAAGGCCCCUCUGGGAUCUUAGACGAGACCAUACAAGUGAUUUUAGCAACCCUUGGCUUCAUAUUCCUGUAUGUAUAUAUCAUUACCGGUGAGGAACUUGCUCGGUUGGCAAAGGACUACAUCAAAUAUCUCUUCGGAGGAAGCAAAAGUGUUCGAUUGAAGCGCACCAUGUACAAAUGGAGCCAGUUCUUUGAGAAGCUGACAGAGAAGAAGGAAUAUGAUAAGUUUUGGUUAGAAAAAGCAAUCAUCACUACCCCGACAUGGUACGAUAGCCCCGACAAGUACUGAAGGGUCCUCAAUUCUUAUAUAGAAUAUGAUGAUGAAGAUGAAUCAGAUUACGAUGACUAAAUCUGAGUCCUAUAAGUGCCUAAAAGAACUUAAUGAGAAGUUGUUCUUUCAUGAGAAUGUCAUUCACUAGUCUAUGUUCAUGUUUUGGCAUUAUGGAAGAAUUUGUGUAUAACACAAUUGACAUCAUUGAGCAUUGUUUAGUCCUUGGCUAGCUCUUCACAUUGAUAACAUUUACCAUGCAUUUAGUCCC